rnacentral:tRNA from 1 species
UCCACUGCUCAGUUGAUAAAGCACAAAACUCUUAAGCUUGUGGACGUGGGUUCAAGCCCCAUGGUGGAG